GCGCUGCAAUCUGCGGUAACGUGUGGAAUGGGCAUCGCGUUCUACAUUUUAUAUGUAGAUUCUUUUCUAUAAACAAAGUAAUGCUAAGCUGACACGGUAGAGCGAGGAUGAACGUUUCAAAGUUGUCUGGGUUUAAUAAAACCACUCAAAAACUAAGUGUGGGUUUUCAAUGUGGGCUCAAUGGGUUCUGAGUUUCUUUCAGUUUUCUCUUUCAGAUUGGAUACUUCAGGUUUUAGCGCUCUAAAUUGGUGAGUUUUUAAUAACAAGCAAUCUUUCAAUUUGCUAAUACUACCUUCUAUCGCAGGCUGUCUUUAAAUGGGAAGCUUAACUUGCUAAACGAAGAGGUAAUUAAAGUUUUAUUUUGUAAUUUUAAUGUAUAACACUUAGCUGAUGAUAUUACGAGUAGGAAUCUCAUUGAAAUAACCAUGAAAUCAAUUUUAUCUCCACUGAUAGCAUUAUGCUCAAGGAAGCUGAACUCAACCAAACCAAGCUAAUCAAGACUUUAUUUCGUUUCAGUUUUCAAUCUGGCUCGUAUCUGGAUCCUUGGAUAUGAAAUUCUUCAAGGUGUGUAUAUUUCGGAUGGAGUAGUUUGAAUUGUAAUCUGCUCUGAUGAUAUUUCGAGUAGGAAUCUCAUUGAGCUACCUGUAGCUAUGAAAUCAAUUUUAAUCUCCCACUGAUCAAAUCAUUUCAAACAACAAUGGCUUCUCUUAAAGCGCUUUAUUUAACAAUUCUUUUUUAAUUCAUUUCAGUUGCGCCAUUGUUUCCCGAUUCUCUGGACUAACUUCUUAUAAGGUGUGUAUCUGUUUUAGUUACUGACAACUUCUUUAUUGUGAUGAUAUUUUGAGUAGGAAUCUCAUUGAGCCUCAGUCAUUCGUUGCUUUGAAAUUAAUUUUGUCUCUCACUGAUUGCAAGCAUAAAAGCAAAUAUGUUCAUCGUUGUGAAGCAUAACUAACCAAGUGUUUGCUUUUAUUUUUACAGAAGUGGCCCGAUUAAUGGAUUAAUGAGUUAAUUCUUAAAGUACAUUUAAUUGAAAUAUAUAUAGAAAUAAAACAGAAUCCUGAACCUAAACAAUUGUACAUUUUAUUGCUGGCACUCGUAUCUUUAGUAUCUGCGGAACUGCUUCCUAAACUUAUCAUAAUGGUAGUCA
rnacentral:snoRNA from 1 species